UCGUCUUCCUCGUUGCUUUUGUCGAGACAAGAAAUCAACGGACCGAUUGCUUCUCCGUUCUUCAACCAAGGAUUGAUCCAUGUCUUCUAUGUCUUCUCUACCAAAAUCUCAUGUAGCUCGUACGCUGCUCCUGGUCCUUAGUUUCAGAUUCUUUGUUGAAUACUGCUUUUGUUUUCAGAAGCUCUGAUUUGCUUCAUCCUUGAAAACCGACCAACAUCAUUACUCUUCGAUGGUUCCUAAACACCAGCUUCUCCCAACGGCGCACGUGAUUGUUCUCACUUCGAAUGUAGCAGGGUUUGAUCGCAGAGGUUUGUUACUUUGACUUCUUCACCAUAAUCGAACUCAGGACUGAUUCAUCUUCCUGUAACUCAUCACCUGUGAAAUUCGACCACCGAUGCGCAUCCUCCGGUCGAUUUUCAUCUCUUGAACCGUCUUCACAAAAGAAGAUCGCGACUUCUUCUUUCCUAAUGAUGAGAUAAUAUAAUUCUCUUGAACGGUGGUGAUGAAUCAACUUGAUCAAUCUGCUGGAACUUCUUCAAUUUCCGAGUGACUUACGCCCAACUUCUUCAGAUUCUUAGGCGUACCUUUGCUGCUUGAGAUCUUGAGAUACUUGUUUUCGACGACUCCAACACACCCACGAACCCCUUUUCAUUCAACUUCUUGAUACUCGUCUCCCUUCAGCCAUUUUUUUUCUUCUGUUUAAGACGUUCUCUCAGCUGCUCCACCUUUAGCUGAAACCCUUUGUCUCGCAUCCAUACUCACAGCUCUCUAGCUGAUUCCAAGCAAGAGCUCACAAGGUACCAAUCAGAAGGCAAUGAGAACAUGAACGAGAUGGGUCCAAUCCAUCACUGAUCAACAAUCACCAUCUUAAGUGUUUGAUCCAGAGCGUACCAAUCUGAAGGCAAUGAGAACAUGAUCCAGUCUCUUGAAGAGUGGUAUAACUUGUACGGCUCAGUACCCCGAUAGUCGUCCUACCAUGGCCGAUGUCACCAGAAUCAUCGAGGAGGUUUCACAUUCAUCGUCAAGCUCCCCAAAUCCUGUAUCUGACUGAGUUCUGUAUGGGGUCUUAAUUGAUUGUUUUCAAAAAUGUUUUGGGUUAAAAUUGCAAUUUCUUGAAUAGAUAUUGGCUGUGAGUAACGUUUACUUUUGUUUCCAUAACAAAUUCAAUUCCAUUUUUUUUUUUUUUGGAAACAUUAAAACAAAAAGGAAAGACAUCCUAUUUAAAAGCCGUAAAAGGAUUUAGUGCAUCUUAAUAAUUAAUCAGUCACGAUCAAACUUUUUUUUUUUCUCGAGGUCUUCUUCUCUCUCGACCAAACGGUGCAGCCCCUAUCCCUGCUUGACAUGCGUGAAAUAUGCGUCUUAUGGAACGUCGAGGAAUGCCCAAACUGGGACAAAAGAUUUCAGGGUGCGGUUAAUGCCUUCUUGGCUUAUACUGAUACCCAACCUUCGCCUGAAUUGAUGGAUGGGUUGCCGACCUUCCUAACCAGAGGAGAUAAAGAUACAAUAGCUAAUACUAUUGUACAUCACAUUCUUAUAUGGGCACGGAAGAAUCCAGAACCAUCAGUAUCAACUUUGAUGUUAAUCUCUGAUAAUCUCUCAGAGGAAACCCUCACUGCUUGUCUCGCUUUGAAAGUGAGAGGUUACAGUUUUCUCUUAUUAAAUUCUGAUGAAUCGGUUGAAGAUGCUAGCCUGGAAUAUCUUAGCACAAGGCUAAUGGAGAUUCAGAAAAACUCUCUUACUUGAAGGGGAAGAAACUAUAAACUAUGGAUGCAGAUGAGGGGCUUAUAAUAAUCUUUGUUUUUUAAGUCCUUUAUUCUCGCUGUCAAGAGGCUUUGGUUAUGUGUUUCAAAUACAUUUGGGGCUAUAUCCUUGAUAUGUUAUAUUUGAUUUCUGUUUUGUUCUUGUAUCUGUGGGAGAGAGAGACACGUCUCUUAGUUCUUGUUUCUUAAUUAUUCUAUUUAACCAGUGUUGUUUUGUUUAGACUG